GACGAAAAUGGCAAACCUGGGGCAACCCAGGGACGCAAAGCUAAAGGGUCCAAAGAAAUGGAUAGCCAGUUGCCGAAU
rnacentral:ncRNA from 1 species